rnacentral:lncRNA from 1 species
GUUCAGGGGGUAUUCUGGUUGCCUUACCCAGCUCUGAAGUCUGUCAGCCUCUUCAGAUGUCACUUGCCCUGUGGUAAGGAAGUGUAGUUGGCAGCUGGUGCAGUGGCAAGAAGAGAAAGGAGGUUCCCCAAGACAGAAAUAUCUCAGCAGACCGUGAUCAUGGGCUACAUUCUCCAUACCAGCUUCAUAGCUCCAGUGAGAAAAUAAAUUCCUGCACCCAGGAGACGUGGAGUAAGAGAUACAGCUGACCUUGACCACAUUUCUUACUUCCAAGAAGAUUGUAGCAAUAAUUCAGGAUUUCAUCCAGGAUACCUCAUCACAGCCUGGAGUGCAGUGUCAUGAGCUUGGCUCACUACAGCCUCCAUCUUCUGAGCUUAAGGAUCCUUCCCUCUCAACCUCCAGGGUAGCUGAGACUACAGUAUUAAUUUUAUGUGAUUUUAAUAACACAUCAAUGAGUUCCUGAUGAGGGCAGGGAGGUGAAUCCUAAGAACAAUCAUGUGAGUUUGGAAGGAGACCCUUCCCCAGCUGAGCCUCAGCCUGAGCCAUCACCUACAUCUAGACCGAAGACCCAGAGAAACUGUGAGUAGUAUGUGUGUGGUUUUGAGCCACUAAGGUAUGUGGUAAUUUGUUAUGCACCAAGUAGUAAGUAAUAUACCUGACAGUAAUUGUAAGGUGGUAUUCUGGAUUAGGUCCUGGAAUAGAUAAGUAUAUCAUUAUUAGAAAACCUGGUAAAAUAUGAAGGAAGUUUGUAGAUCAGUUAAUAGUCUUGAAAAACAGUUAAAUUCUUAGUUUUCAUGAAUAUGCUAUGGUUAUAAUAGAUACUAACAUUCUAGUUAUCUGAAUGGUAUAUGAAACUGUCUGUACUUACCUAUGUGCAUUUAUGUAAAUCUGCAGUUAUUUCAAAAUAAAUAUUUUUUUAAUAUUAUUAUUUUGUUUUUUUUUAAAAAGUAAGCAAGUAAAGACAUCAGCAAAAAACUUUUGCCUCCAAAUACAAGUGGGCAUGUAGGGAGAGAACAGUAAACUAGCUUUUCUUUUCUAGGCAACAUUUGAAACCCAGGAGCCACUGCUUCAGGAAGGUACCUUCAAGCUCCAAGGACUCUUAUCCUCUUUCUCCUUCCCCACUACCUAGUCAUUAGAGUGUCAGCAUCCACUUCUUGAAAGGAAGAUGCCUGUUUUUCACAUAUCCCAGAAAGCCCCAUUUUAGGACAGCAUUUAGCAGAGUAUAUUCAAGAUCCCACUAACCUUUUCGGAAGACAUGAAUUCCAGAUGAUAUAAGGCAAGAAUAAGAAAUUUCAGUGUCAGGGAACAUAAAUCAUAUUUCUGCAUUCAGGAUCACGUUUUCUUGGUACAGGGAUUUCUUCUUCAAGUAAUCCAAAGACAACUUUACUUUCAAACCUUUCAGAAAACCUGUUCUAAUUUACUUUGCUUCAUUCUACAGGCUCCAUCAGGAACUGUUCAGGACCAUGCACUCUGUUGAUACUCACAUGGUGGAAUUAUAUUGCCCUUGGCCAACCCUAAAGCCAUCAAGAUAGCAGGUAA